rnacentral:misc_RNA from 1 species
AAAAAAAAAAAAAUGGAGCAGAAAUACUCGGUUUUCCCCUUCUCCUUCCUUAUCAUAAUCCUUUCCUUAUUAUUAUUUCUCUGCAACAAUAGGAUUUCAUCAUCUUCUGCUGUCAGAUGCAAUGGUUCAAUAGCUGAGUGCAGUGAAGAUUACGAGUUGUUGAUGGAAUCGGAAAUUAGCGGAAGGAUUCUUGCACAGAAGAAAUAUAUAUCACCAGGUGCUCUGAAGAGAGACCAACCAGUUUGCAAUGGUGGUGGUAGUGGCCAGUCUUACAGUAGCAGUUGUUUGCCUUCCUCCUCUAAUUCUCAAACUCGUGGUUGUUCUAAGUACUAUCGUUGUAGGUCUGAUUCUUGAUUAUUCUAAUUUAUAAGCUUCUUUUCUUUUCUUUGCUUUUGUUUUCAUCAACUUUUGGUCUUCUUUCUUUGUUAUAAUCAUUGUUGAACUUUUUUGUUUUCUUUUCCUUCGUUUUUAUCAUUGGAUGUUAAUAUAUAGAAUCUCUGUUUCAUAACUCAAUGUAAAAUUGUGUUUUU